UACGUAGGGGGCAAGCGUUGUCCGGAAUCAUUGGGCGUAAAGCGCGUGUAGGCGGUCCGGUAAGUCCGCUGUAAAAGUCGGGGGCUCAACCCUCGGAUGCCGGUGGAUACUGUCGGGCUUGAGUACGGAAGAGGCGGGUGGAAUUCCUGGUGUAGCGGUGAAAUGCGCAGAUAUCAGGAGGAACACCAAUUGCGAAGGCAGCUCGCUGGGACGUUACUGACGCUGAGACGCGAAAGCGUGGGGAGCAAACAGG
rnacentral:rRNA from 1 species